CCCUUAGAUGUUCUGGGCUGCACGCGCGCUACACUGACGCACCCAACAGGUGCCUGCUCCGAGAGGACUGGGUAAUCAUUUGAGUGUGCGUCGUGAUGGGGAUAGAAUAUUGUAAUUAUUACUCUUCAACGAGGAAUUCCUAGUAAGCGCCAGUCAGCAGCUUGCGCUGAUUACGUCCCUGCCCUUUGUACACACCGCCCGUCGCUCCUACCGAUGGGUGAUCCGGUGAAUGAUUCGGACUUCAGCGGCUCCCCUGGGGUGCGCCGGAGAAAGUUUUGUGAACCUUAUCACUUGGAGGAAGGAGAAGUCGUAACG
rnacentral:rRNA from 1 species